rnacentral:lncRNA from 1 species
GGUAUUGAUUUUAAUCAACUUUCAAGAUGAAGCACCACAUUUGUCAAGGCAGAAGACCCAAAUGUGCAAUUUUUUCUUAGGGGAAAACUGGCUAUAAUGAAUGUGCUGAAAUAUAUUAGUUAUCUAUUAACCUCAACACGCAAGAAAGCACUAGAUCAUUAGUUUGCCUGGUAAGGGAAAAAACAGGGGCUGCAGCCUGCCCAGCUACAGAAGAAAGUGGAAUCAGCAGAACAAGUGGCCUGUGAAGAUGCCAGCUUGUGAGAAAUGCCUGGCUGACUGUGAACAGGGAUAUUAUUAAAUGGAUGCAUAUGAUGCAUAGCGUAAUUAUACCACUUAUGGCAGAAAAACAUCACCAUUUUAUCAAAUGCUCCACUGUGUACAUCAAAGAUCAUGGUAUCAUCUAUCUCUGGGAUGCCAUGUGAGCUUUGCAGUUCUGGAAGGGCUUCGAGUCAAGUUUUGAUUAAUUCUUGAUGGUUUUAUUUGAUUAUAGAAGUAGAGCUUGAACGUGUGUGUGCGUUUUCCCUUUUUCUUGUAAGAACUGACAAUCUUGAUUAAAUUUCCCUUUUAGGAGUGGGAAGCAAGAAGCAAAGUAAUUGUCACCACUUCUUGGAGAAGAAUGGCUUAUAGUGUUUUGAACAUAUCGUCUCAAAAUAACCUCUUCGGAAGA